AUAACUCUCUUACUAUGAACUAUGGAGGUUUUUUCGUAAAUGAUACAAAUAAACAAAAAAAGAUUUGAAGACAUAGAGGAGAAUUGUGGAAGUCCGCUUGGCCCAAUGAUUGACUAAAGGUUCAUUAAUGCUUCUACAUCAAGAGGUUUGGGGUUCGAGUCCCACCUACUACGAUUUAUUAGCAUAUUUGUAGAUUAAUGGAGACAAGUGUGCUAAUGGAGACAAGUGUGCAGGAAAUCUCCAACGAUAUACAAUUAUAGCCGUUCCUCAGGAUUCUACGCAGUGAAGAUAUUGAAGGUGUCCAUCAAGAGUAUGGAGAAAGAGAAGGAGGUGUCGUCUGUCGUGGAUAUAAUAAGAUCAGAAGGAAUUGUUCGUGGUAGAAUCGUCUAUAUCACAGUUUCAUGAUUUGCGAUUAAUAAUAAAUCUAGACAGCAAAAAUAAAAGACAUAGAGGAGAAUGCAUUUGGUUGAGUAAUUGUUGGCGU
rnacentral:sRNA from 1 species